AUUGAACGCUGGCGGCAGGCCUAACACAUGCAAGUCGAGCGGAAGAAGGGAGCUUGCUCCUGGAUUCAGCGGCGGACGGGUGAGUAAUGCCUAGGAAUCUGCCUGGCAGUGGGGGAUAACGUCCGGAAACGGGCGCUAAUACCGCAUAAGUCCUGAGGGAGAAAGGGGGGGAUCUUCGGACCUCACGCUAUCAGAUGAGCCUAGGUCGGAUUAGCUAGUUGGUGGGGUAAAGGCCUACCAAGGCGACGAUCCGUAACUGGUCUGAGAGGAUGAUCAGUCACACUGGAACUGAGACACGGUCCAGACUCCUACGGGAGGCAGCAGUGGGGAAUAUUGGACAAUGGGCGAAAGCCUGAUCCAGCCAUGCCGCGUGUGUGAAGAAGGUCUUCGGAUUGUAAAGCACUUUAAGUUGGGAGGAAGGGCAGUAAGUUAAUACCUUGCUGUUUUGACGUUACCAACAGAAUAAGCACCGGCUAACUUCGUG
rnacentral:rRNA from 1 species